CUCAUGGACUGUGAGAUCAUGACCUGAGCUGAAGUCAGACACUUAACCGACCAAGCCACCUAGGCGCCCCAUGAAGAAUUCAUUUCUGCAAUGAGAGGAGUAGAAAGCAUAAGGAGAAGGCAAGUAGCUCAGGAGACACCCGUGCCCAGCCAAGGAGUGGUGCGUGGAGGAGAGGAGGCAGAACCAGAGGGGGCAGUGAGAGACCAGUCACGUGUUUUCCACACCCCAAAGCCCUUCGCUACCCCCAGCAGGACCUGGUGAAAUCCUGGGUCUCCUGCCAGGCUCACACUCAGACAUCCCGAGUUCACAUCAUGAAGGGGUUGUUUCUCCAGCUGCUGAUACUCUACGGCCUGGUGAUCUCGCCAGUGGCAGGAAGUCUUAAAGACAAAACUAAGACUACAGCCAAGCCUCCAAAAUACAAGAUCAGCACUGAGAACUAUGCACCCAACCCUUGGCCGGAAGUUACUAUAUAUCCCAUAACCAUCCCUGAAAGCCAGGAACAGACACCAGAGGGCCAUCAGAAUAAUACUGCCUGAUGUCCAGUGGGACCUUCUUCUCGUUGCAACUGGAAAGCAGGGAGAGGGUGGAGGAGGGUGGGUCCCAGGAGAAUGUCUCUCCUACUUGACAGCACUCUUCUCUGAACCAUUAUAUCAUCAGCCUCAAUUCCUUGACAAAUAAACUAUGGCAGUAACCCA